rnacentral:tRNA from 1 species
UGCAACUUAGUUUAAAUAGAACAAUUAAUUUGCAUUUAAUAAGUGAAUUCAAUUCAGUAGC